rfam:Picoides pubescens contig3117, whole genome shotgun sequence.
GCCAGCCCCCAUGACGGUCUGCCUUCAAACCAGCCUGCUGGUGAGGCAAGACCUGAAGAUCCUGGC